rnacentral:rRNA from 1 species
UAGGGAAUCUUCGGCAAUGGGGGCAACCCUGACCGAGCAACGCCGCGUGAGUGAAGAAGGUUUUCGGAUCGUAAAGCUCUGUUGUAAGAGAAGAACGUGUGUGAGAGUGGAAAGUUCACACAGUGACGGUAACUUACCAGAAAGGGACGGCUAACUACGUGCCAGCAGCAGCGGUAAUACGUAGGUCCCGAGCGUUGUCCGGAUUUAUUGGGCGUAAAGCGAGCGCAGGCGGUUUAAUAAGUCUGAAGUUAAAGGCAGUGGCUUAACCAUUGUUCGCUUUGGAAACUGUUAAACUUGAGUGCAGAAGGGGAGAGUGGAAUUCCAUGUGUAGCGGUGAAAUGCGUAGAUAUAUGGAGGAACACCGGUGGCGAAAGCGGCUCUCUGGUCUGUAACUGACGCUGAGGCUCGAAAGCGUGGGGAGCAAACAGG